rnacentral:rRNA from 1 species
UACGAAGGUGGCAAGCGUUGUUCGGAUUUACUGGGCGUACAGGGAGCGUAGGCGGUUGGGUAAGCCCUCCGUGAAAUCUCCAGGCUUAAACUGGAAAGUGCAGAGGGGACUGCUCGGCUAGAGGAUGGGAGAGGAGCGCGGAAUUCCCGGUGUAGCGGUGAAAUGCGUAGAGAUCGGGAGGAAGGCCGGUGGCGAAGGCGGCGCUCUGGAACAUUUCUGACGCUGAGGCUCGAAAGCGUGGGGAGCAAACAGG